rnacentral:lncRNA from 1 species
UAGAAUAUUUUCACCUAUAAAAUAAAACCCGACCGUCGGGCAGGGGGAUUUGAAAAUCUGACAGUACGGGUUAAAAUCAACCAGUCUCGGACGGUCGGGCAGGCAGGUAUUUCGAACGCUGCACCAACCCCUCCAGCCACCUAUAUUUAGGUACAUUUUAGUUCACUGUUCUGUUUCAGCAUGCAUGUUCCAGUGUUUUUCUAUUGAAUUCAAUUAUGCGUUUUUAUUCUAUUUCUCCAGUCUGGGUCAUCUUAAAUAAGAACCCCUCUCCGCCGCCUGCUCAACGCCAUUCUCCCGUCAACACGUCAAGGCCAAAUGAUGACAGCACUUUUGUAAUCUGAUACGACAUCUCCAAAUAAACUGCAGCGCGGCCCCGGAACAAAUCCCUUCAGUGAAGGUUCACAUGAACAAAUCUCCCACCUCCUAACUGAUAAAGACGAGGACGGCUGGAUAAUUAAUCUGCAAGCUGUUUGUAACAGACGACACGUUCUUUACUUCCGGCUGGGAAUGCAUUUAUAUUAUACAAUAUCAUCUUCAAUUAGUUCCAACUAUUUUAUCAUCAAGCGUGUCAAAUAGGCAUGGACGUUGUGAAACAAACAAUGAAGACAUAUGGCACACAAAAGAGCUCGGCACAUGUAAGAGUUUACUGGCUAAAGUUGAUGGAAUACUCCAGUGCAAACUGUGUCCUGAAUCAACGUCACGACGGUACAAUAUCAAGGAAGGACACAUACACAAGCACACACAA